rnacentral:lncRNA from 1 species
UUGUUUUGUUUCCUAUAUGUUCUUUUGCUGUACUUUUCCGGUAUUUGUUGUUCUUCUACUGUAUGAAGCUUCUACUGAUGUUUUAAGUUUUGUUUGCCUUCUACUGUACUUUGUUUGAGUUCUUCUAAAAGACCUUUCUAAACGUAUUUCCACUACUAUUUUCUUAAGUGUUAUACUACCUUUUUCUCUUCUGAACCCUGUCUAAGUCCCUUUUAAAAGAAUUUUUUCUUAAGUGUGUUUCUUCUGCUAUCUUGACUGUUCUCUC